rnacentral:rRNA from 1 species
UACGGGGGGGGUAAGCGUUGUUCGGAAUUACUGGGCGUAAAGGGCUCGUAGGCGGCCAACUAAGUCAGACGUGAAAUCCCUCAGCUUAACUGGGGAACUGCGCCUGAUACUGGAUGGCUUGGAUUUGGGAGAGGAAUGCGGAAUUCCAGGUGUAGCGGUGAAAUGCGUAGAUAUUGGGAGGAACACCAGUGGCGAAGGCGGCUCACUGGACCGGAACUGACGCUGAGGCGCGAAAGCGUGGGGAGCAAACAGG